rnacentral:misc_RNA from 1 species
CAGAAAAGCACGAGGACAGGCUCAAGGUUUCUAGUUGAGGGAGUUUGUUAACUAUUUGCAACCAAUCACUGGGCCUAACAAGGGAAUUGCCACCCAGAUCAAGGUAACUUAAAGAAGAAAGACCAAGAAGCCAAUCAAUGUUUUCUAAAUCAUGAAAAUGAUUCUUACUCAGAUCAAGAUACACCAAGCUGGAGAGAUUGGCAAGCAGAGAAGAGACGGCUCCAGCAAAGUUAGCGUUAUGCAGAUCCAAGUGUCGCAAC